rnacentral:sRNA from 1 species
UGGCGGAUUACUAGCAUGUUGUUCUCGGAGGCUGCUAGAGCGUCUCUUUAUCCUCGGUGCGGGCCUGGGUAGCUGAAGCCUGGGCAAGGUCACUGGACGCUUUCGAUAUUUGCCUCCACGCAACGCGACUCGCUACAAGCCUUCAGUUUGUAUUGUCAUUUCGAUUCCGGUGUAUAUCUACGAGGUACAUACUGGUAGUCACCGAUUAAUUUCCAGGUUGAUUACAACGUGCAAUAUGUGAGGUGGAAACUGGACAUAGCUUUGACUGUGUAUGUGGGGUAGCCCAAAAUUCUGUCGGAUCAUAGUAGCGUCGUUUUUUAUAUCCACUGCACAGUAAAUCUUGGCUGGAAAGCUUUCGGCGUUGAUUUUCACGUUGACCUUAGGGUACAUCCACAUUUCCACAGCGUAUAUGCUUUUGAUGAGG